CAUUUCUGGCGCCCCCUGGAUGUACGGCGCCCUUAGCAUUUGCCCCAAACUGCCUAUGCCACGGGCCGGCCCUGGUAAGUAAAUAUCUUUACCAUGGUAACCAACACAGGAGCUAACUAAUUAGGUCAGUAAGCAAAGUUAGCUACCUGUUAAGUUAGCGUUAGCUUAAUAAUGUCAACGCCAGCUAGCUAGCAACCAGCUUUAAUAGCAGUCCAGCAAGAUUCAACACACAUUAGGCCUACUGUUGUGUUUAGUCUUGUUUUACAAAUGCUCAUGGUUAGAUGCUGUGUGUUUUCUAAGUAGCUAGGAAGGACACGGGUAUACUAAACCAGUGUGUUGGCAUUGGUUUAUGCUCUUCCCGAAAGAAAACCAUCACAUCUAGACGAUGCUGGACAUACUUGAGGAACAUUCUUCUGAAAUG